CUCCGAUUGGUCGGAGUUUGAUCCUGGCUCAGGAUGAACGCUGGCGGCGUGCUUAACACAUGCAAGUCGAACGGUGAAAGCGGAGCUUGCUCCGCUGGAUCAGUGGCGAACGGGUGAGUAACACGUGAGCAACCUGCCCCGGACUCUGGGAUAAGCGCUGGAAGCGGCGUCUAAUACCGGAUACGAGCUGCGAAGGCAUCUUCAGCAGCUGGAAAGAACUUCGGUCUGGGAUGGGCUCACGGCCUAUCAGCUAGUUGGUGAGGUAACGGCUCACCAAGGCGUCGACGGGUAGCCGGCCUGAGAGGGUGACCGGCCACACUGGGACUGAGACACGGCCCAGACUCCUACGGGAGGCAGCAGUGGGGAAUAUUGCACAAUGGGCGAAAGCCUGAUGCAGCAACGCCGCGUGAGGGACGACGGCCUUCGGGUUGUAAACCUCUUUUAGCAGGGAAGAAGCGAAAGUGACGGUACCUGCAGAAAAAGCACCGGCUAACUACGUGCCAGCAGCCGCGGUAAUACGUAGGGUGCAAGCGUUAUCCGGAAUUAUUGGGCGUAAAGAGCUCGUAGGCGGUUUGUCGCGUCUGCUGUGAAAACCCGAGGCUCAACCUCGGGCCUGCAGUGGGUACGGGCAGACUAGAGUGCGGUAGGGGAGAUUGGAAUUCCUGGUGUAGCGGUGGAAUGCGCAGAUAUCAGGAGGAACACCGAUGGCGGAGGCAGAUCUCUGGGCCGUAACUGACGCUGAGGAGCGAAAGGGUGGGGAGCAAACAGGCUUAGAUACCCUGGUAGUCCACCCCGUAAACGUUGGGAACUAGUUGUGGGGUCCAUUCCACGGAUUCCGUGACGCAGCUAACGCAUUAAGUUCCCCGCCUGGGGAGUACGGCCGCAAGGCUAAAACUCAAAGGAAUUGACGGGGACCCGCACAAGCGGCGGAGCAUGCGGAUUAAUUCGAUGCAACGCGAAGAACCUUACCAAGGCUUGACAUAUACGAAGAACGGCCAGAAAAUGUCACUCUUUGACACCUCGUAAACAGUGUGCAUGCUGUCGUCAGCUCGUGUCGUGAGAUGUUGGGUUAGGUCCCGCAACGAGCGCAACAUGG
rnacentral:rRNA from 1 species